rnacentral:rRNA from 1 species
AUCUGGGCGGCGGAAUUCAGGAUGGCUGGCGUGCUCUUGCGGUGCGUCGGUCGUUUGAUAUUUCCGUCGCCAACCUACCGCAGACGUCGCGACCUGUUCGCGGUCGGUCCUUGCUCGGAGGAGCCGCGUUCGAGCUCGUUGUGUGCGCGUUUCGGCGUGUCACACGGCGAAGGCGCGGAUCUCUGGCUGGCCGUCGGACAGUAUGCUUAACGGUGUCCGGUGUCGUCGUCUCGUACGCGCGGCAUCGGUACCGGUCAGCGACGAAUUCUUCGGGCCUCUUUCCGACCCGUCUUGAAACACGGACCAAGGAGUCUAACAUGCGCGCGAGUCGCGGGGUAUCGAGCGUACUUCGGUGCGUUCGUUAUGUUGCGAAACCCGUACAUGUCGAAGGCGUAAUGAAAGUGAAUGGGGAAGAUGGUGUUCCGAGUUCACGUUCCGCGAUCAUCGGUAUCGCGGCCGGACGCCCGCAUUCCCGGGGCGUCUCAACGGCCCGUCGCUGAUGCGGACUGUCGUCUUUCGGGGCGGCUGUCGGUCGGCGACGAACCGA